UCUAUUAGUUACUGCAACCUUUUUUAGCAGAUAUUGAAAUUUUCAGGUAAAUAUUUUGGUCUAGAGAUGAGUAUAGUAUAGGAUCUUCAGGUCACAUGAUUGCAAUUGAUUGUUUCUUUUUCAUGUCCUAGAAGUAUAUACUGAUUAUGAAAUACCCUUGCACAACCACCUGCACGAGGGAGUUAAUCUUAUGUAUGUCUCUUUUGUUACUAGGUACAAACUUUGUUACUAUCGAUUUGGGGAGUUGGUUACAGAAUAUGGGAAACCUCCUGGGUAUGAUCGUGCAAGGGGUGUUGAAAUUGGAAACAAGGAUGUCAAACUCGAGCACUUGGAAGAGGCGUUUACUACAUCCAAUUGGAUUGUUCGUGUUUACAAAGUCAAGCCACCGAACAAUAGGUGGUGAGACUCUUUCUCAAUCUCUCUCUUUAUGG